GGACCUUACUGCUAUCGGGAUGAGANUAAGCCAUGCAUGUCGAGCGCUCUCAAGCUAUGUAGAGAGCGCGGCGAACGGCUCCGUAACACGUAGUUAACCUACCCUCGGGAUGGGGAUAACCCCGGGAAACUGGGAUUAAUACCCACUAGAUGAUUAUACCUGGAAUGGCUUAUCAUCGAAAGAGUCUGGAAACAUGCUUCCAGCGUCGCCCGAGGAUGGGACCGCGUCCGAUCAGGUUGUUGGUGGGGUAACGGCCUACCAAGCCUAUAACCGGUACGGGCCCUGAGGGGGGGAGCCCGGAGAUGGAAACUGAGAAAGGGUUCCAGGCCCUACGGGGUGCAGCAGGCGCGAAACCUCCACAAUGCGCGAAAGCGUGAUGGGGUUAUCCCGAGUGCCGUCCGAUGAGGAUGGCUUUUCAUCGGUGUAAGGAUCCGAUGGAAUAAAGGGGGGGCAAGACUGGUGUCAGCCGCCGCGGUAAUACCAGCCCCCUGAGUGGUAAGGACGAUUAUUUGGCCUAAAGCGUUCGUAGCCGGCUUAUCAAGUCUUUUGUUAAAUCCAACGAUUCAAUCGUUGGGCCGCAAAAGAUACUGUUAUGCUAGAGGACGGGAGAGGUCGACGGUAUUCCAGGGGUAGGGGUGAAAUCCUAUAAUCCUUGGAGGACCACCAGUGGCGAAGGCGGUCGACUAGAACGUGCCUGACGGUGAGGGACGAAAGCUGGGGGAGCGAACCGGAUUAGAUACCCGGGUAGUCCCAGCCGUAAACGAUGCGGGCUAGGUGUUGGGGCAGCCACGAGCUGCUCCAGUGCCGCAGAGAAGUUAUUAAGCCCGCCGCCUGGGGAGUACGGCCGCAAGGCUGAAACUUAA
rnacentral:rRNA from 1 species